GCCAAGUCUCUGGUAUCAGGGGAAAUGACCUCAGAGCUUUGGACGUGGCUGGCAGGCCACUGCCUGGACUUAAAGGUCUCCUGGCAGGCACCUGUCACCCUGUCUUGUCCUUCCUCUGCCCCAGACCUUCCACAGGGAGCCAAGGGUCUGGGAAAGAAAACAGGCUUCUAGCAUAGAGUGAGGACCCAUAAUUUCAAAGCCCCUGUUUGAGAAGAGAAGGUGGUUAUCGGGAAGAACCAGGAAGACAGCUCUCACCAGAAACUGAAUUUCUCAUCCCUUUGAUCUCAUACUUCCAGCCUCCAGAACUGUGAGAAAUAAAUGUCUAUUGCUUAAUUCA